ensembl:lncRNA
AUGAGAAGCCAGAAGAAUGGUCAGAUGUUACACGGAGAAACCUCAUUUGAAAGGUGCAUAGGCGUAGAUGAAGCGCAGGACGUUCUGGUGGAGCUCAUCCAGGAUCGCAUCUCUCCUGUCCAAACCAUCCACAUCUCCCAGGUCACAGGGGAACAGUGCAUCAGGUGGAAUGAUGAGAGCAGAGGCACCUGCAGACAGAGAGCAACAUCAGUAAUAAGCAUAUAAAUAUUUAUCAUAGCUUUUGUAUACAUUGAUAAACACAAUGUAAGAAUAUAAUUAACAGAAAAACUAUGUAGGAAGUAUUAAGUAAUGGAA